rnacentral:rRNA from 1 species
CGGCGUCGAGCGGCGGACGGGUGAGUAAUGCCUAGGAAAUUGCCCUGAUGUGGGGGAUAACCAUUGGAAACGAUGGCUAAUACCGCAUGAUGCCUACGGGCCAAAGAGGGGGACCUUCGGGCCUCUCGCGUCAGGAUAUGCCUAGGUGGGAUUAGCUAGUUGGUGAGGUAAGGGCUCACCAAGGCGACGAUCCCUAGCUGGUCUGAGAGGAUGAUCAGCCACACUGGAACUGAGACACGGUCCAGACUCCUACGGGAGGCAGCAGUGGGGAAUAUUGCACAAUGGGCGCAAGCCUGAUGCAGCCAUGCCGCGUGUGUGAAGAAGGCCUUCGGGUUGUAAAGCACUUUCAGUCGUGAGGAAGGUAGUGUAGUUAAUAGCUGCAUUAUUUGACGUUAGCGACAGAAGAAGCACCGGCUAACUCCGUGCCAGCAGCCGCGGUAAUACGGAGGGUGCGAGCGUUAAUCGGAAUUACUGGGCGUAAAGCGCAUGCAGGUGGUUUGUUAAGUCAGAUGUGAAAGCCCGGGGCUCAACCUCGGAAUUGCAUUUGAAACUGGCAGACUAGAGUACUGUAGAGGGGGGUAGAAUUUCAGGUGUAGCGGUGAAAUGCGUAGAGAUCUGAAGGAAUACCGGUGGCGAAGGCGGCCCCCUGGACAGAUACUGACACUCAGAUGCGAAAGCGUGGGGAGCAAACAGGAUUAGAUACCCUGGUAGUCCACGCCGUAAACGAUGUCUACUUGGAGGUUGUGGCCUUGAGCCGUGGCUUUCGGAGCUAACGCGUUAAGUAGACCGCCUGGGGAGUACGGUCGCAAGAUUAAAACUCAAAUGAAUUGACGGGGGCCCGCACAAGCGGUGGAGCAUGUGGUUUAAUUCGAUGCAACGCGAAGAACCUUACCUACUCUUGACAUCCAGAGAACUUUCCAGAGAUGGAUUGGUGCCUUCGGGAACUCUG